GACGAACGCUGGCGGCGUGCCUAAUACAUGCAAGUUGAGCGAUGAAGAUUGGUGCUUGCACCAAUUUGAAGAGCAGCGAACGGGUGAGUAACGCGUGGGGAAUCUGCCUUUGAGCGGGGGACAACAUUUGGAAACGAAUGCUAAUACCGCAUAAUAACUUUAAACAUAAGUUUUAAGUUUGAAAGAUGCAAUUGCAUCACUCAAAGAUGAUCCCGCGUUGUAUUAGCUAGUUGGUGAGGUAAAGGCUCACCAAGGCGAUGAUACAUAGCCGACCUGAGAGGGUGAUCGGCCACAUUGGGACUGAGACACGGCCCAAACUCUUACGGGAGGCAGCAGUAGGGAAUCUUCGGCAAUGGACGAAAGUCUGACCGAGCAACGCCGCGUGAGUGAAGAAGGUUUUCGGAUCGUAAAACUCUGUUGGUAGAGAAGAACGUUGGUGAGAGUGGAAAGCUCAUCAAGUGACGGUAACUACCCAGAAAGGGACGGCUAACUACGUG
rnacentral:rRNA from 1 species